UUUCCGUAGGUGAACCUGCGGAAGGAUCAUUACCCUUCAAUCAGAGGUUUGGUUUUAGUGUUGAGGGUAUUCCCCUCUUCCUAACCCUACCUUUCUGAUUUUUACCCGUGAUUUUUGCGUACUAUACGUUUCCUCGGCAGGCUUGCCUGCUGGUAGGACCAUUAAUAACCUUAUGUAAUUGCAAUCAGCGUCAGUAACAAUAAAAUUAUUACAACUUUCAACAACGGAUCUCUUGGUUCUGGCAUCGAUGAAGAACGCAGC
rnacentral:misc_RNA from 1 species